rnacentral:snoRNA from 1 species
GGCCUCCUGGUACCUACCACAGGCUGUGUUCUUGUGCUGACUGUAUAGAAAGAGGAGGCAAAGCAAACCUAUCCUAAAUACACCUCAGCCCAGACCCUGUGCCUGGUUAUUGUAAAUGGAGAGACCUGG